GGCCUGGUAGUUCAGCUGGUUAGAAUGCCGCCCUGUCACGGCGGAGGUCGUGGGUUCGAGUCCCAUCCAGGUCGCCA
rnacentral:tRNA from 1 species